GAUGAACGCUGGCGGCGUGCUUAACACAUGCAAGUCGAACGAAGCACUUUAACCUGAUUCUCCGGAUGAAGGUCUUUGUGACUGAGUGGCGGACGGGUGAGUAACGCGUGGGUAACCUGCCUCAUACAGGGGGAUAACAGUUAGAAAUGACUGCUAAUACCGCAUACGACCACAGAGCCGCAUGGCCCGGUGGGCAAAACUCCGGUGGUAUGAGAUGGACGCGCGUCUGAUUAGGUAGUUGGUGGGGUAACGGCCUACCAAGCCAACGAUCAGUAGCCGACCUGAGAGGGUGACCGGCCACAUUGGGACUGAGACACGGCCCAAACUCCUACGGGAGGCAGCAGUGGGGAACAUUGCACAAUGGGGGAAACCCUGAUGCAGCGACGCCGCGUGAGCGAAGAAGUAUUGCGGUAUGUAAAGCUCUAUCAGCAGGGAAGAAAAUGACGGUACCUGACUAAGAAGCACCGGCUAAAUACGUG
rnacentral:rRNA from 1 species